UCAAAUGGAAAGGGCAUCCUCUCAGUCAAUAGCAUUUCAGCAUCCAUUGCGUGCUCCUAUGGAAUCUAGAGCUCCAGUUCCUGGACGGGGUUAUCCUCAACAGUUACCGUACCAACAUGAUGUUCCCGCUCAUAGUUGUUGGAGACCAUCUUAAAGUUAUUUGUACAUAUUUCCUUGGAGCUAUGUCAACGACAAUAGUGUGUAUCCUUUGCUUGGUAAUAUGAUGUGGAAGUUGAAGAUUCGGAUUUUAGAUUCACAUGGUCUUGUGCUUCUGGAUGACCUACAAAUGUGCAGUUUUCAUAGUGGUGAUGAGAUCUGGUUUAGUCUUUUGGCAGGACUUUGUACAUUGUAAUUUUUGUCUUGACAACUGUGUCUAGAAGACUAAUCACUGCUAAAUGUAAUCUCAAGAUAAAUGUAUUCUAAACUUAUGCUGGAAGAUUUUAGUUUGGAGCCUUCAGGACGAACUAAUAGGAUGUGGGUAACUGAGAGCAUCUGAGGGUAUACGCUGUUGAUCAUGAUCUAACCUUGACCAAGGCCGAGGGAAGUCAUUCAUUUAUUUAUCAGGUGAUGUCAUCAAUAGUGAUAGGGGACGGAUACUGAUAUACUUAGCUACGCGAAAUUGAGCUUGGGGGUUUCGUGUGAUAUGGGAAGCAAAUGGGCUUUUUUUUUUAUAUAACUGAAACUUGUAUUCUGAUUUUCAGAGAUAAUGUUCACUCCAAUUCCUACAUUUCUUGUUAAGUUGCUCGUUCGAGUAAAUUAUCUUUUCAGUUAUUGGCUUGUAAAUGCUUAGUGUUAUAAAUUUCAG